UUGGACAAUUCGACCUAGAGGGCAUGGUUGUAGAUUACGAGAGGGGGUUGUGGAAAGCGGCGAAGGAUGUGUUCCCAGCCAUCGAGCUCUGUGGCUGCACCUUUCAUUGGGGUCAGGGUAUUUUGAGGACCGUGCAGCGACUUGGACUUGCCACCCAAUAUAUUCAGGACCGGAGAGCACAUGCUUUCAUCCGAUCCGGAAGGUUCUUAGCCUCUCCUUCUUACCACAAGAAGACAUCCGGUCAACAUUUGAGUGCAUGAAGGACUAUACAUCGUCGGAAGCAGUGCUCCCCUUGUUGGAGUACUUCGAACAGCAGUGGUUUUCUACUCCGUGUUGGACCGUAGAGGAGUGGUGCGUCUUCGGACAAGCUGUCCGAACCAACAAUGAUAUGUAGAAGGGUGGCAUCGUCGACUGAACAUGAAGACGGGAGCGGCACCACCCUUCUACGUCCUCCUCCAAAUCCUACAUCGCGAGGCCAAGGAUGUGGAAGAGCAGAUACAUCUGGUAUCAGAACUCGGUCUUCGGAGAAUACAACGAAAAUCAACCCGAUCGGUGCAGUCGAGGCUAUUUAGUGCGUUUGACGCCUACACUGCCGACGACAUAUCAACUUCAGGGCUCCUGAAGAAGGUUUCGGUCACAUAUGGUCAUCGAGUUCUAAGAACAGAUGAGGUUGAGGAUGAGGACUAACUGCUUAUUUAUUGUCUGCAAUAUGCUUGUGUUAUUAGUUUUGUUAAUAGCGUAUAAUAAUCAA